rnacentral:rRNA from 1 species
UAACACAUGCAAGUCGAACGAGAAUCACCGGAAGGAGUUUUCGGACAACGGAAGGUGAGGACAGUGGCGGACGGGUGAGUAACGCGUGAGGAACCUGCCUUUCAGAGGGGGACAACAGUUGGAAACGACUGCUAAUACCGCAUAACGCAUAGGUAUCGCAUGGUACUUAUGCCAAAGAUUUAUCGCUGAAAGAUGGCCUCGCGUCUGAUUAGCUGGUUGGUGAGGUAACGGCCCACCAAGGCGACGAUCAGUAGCCGGACUGAGAGGUUGACCGGCCACAUUGGGACUGAGAUACGGCCCAGACUCCUACGGGAGGCAGCAGUGGGGAAUAUUGGGCAAUGGGCGCAAGCCUGACCCAGCAACGCCGCGUGAAGGAAGAAGGCUUUCGGGUUGUAAACUUCUUUUGGCAGGGAAGAGGAGAAGACGGUACCUGCCGAAUAAGCCACGGCUAACUACGUGCCAGCAGCCGCGGUAAUACGUAGGUGGCAAGCGUUGUCCGGAUUUACUGGGUGUAAAGGGCGUGUAGCCGGGUUGGUAAGUCAGAUGUGAAAUGCACGGGCUUAACUCGUGAACUGCAUUUGAAACUGCUGAUC